GCAGUUAGAAGGCCACCAGGCUGGCAAAGACUGCUCUGGGUUGAGGCAGGACCAGAAGCAGAGUGUUGAACCCAGAGCAGUCUUUGCCAGCCUGGUGGCCUUCAGCUAC